CAAUCAGUAGGCCAGAAGCUAGCUUGGGGGAGGACCCCCAAUCCCGAGGUUAUCUGCAUUGCAUAUUUAUUUUUAUGCAUCCUUAAUUUUAAAUUAGCAUGUUUACUUUAUGAAAUUUUCGUUAGUUAAAUUCAUGUUUUAAUUAUUGCAUAUAAAAAAAUGAAAAAUGCUAAAAAGACAAAAAUAUAAUUCCACUCUUAUAUGUGAUGUAAGAUAUAUGCUUCUUCCUUGUUGAAAUGAUGAAUAGUUGCUCUAUCGUAAUUUCUUUCCAGUAUCUAGUUUCAACCUUGAAUUCUCCAAAUUAAUAAAAUGAUUAAAUGCGUGGGUUGCAAAAUGCUCUAUCUAAUGUCUAAAGUAAUUAAUGGAUAUAUUUGUGAUGAUCUGAGCUGCUAGUAUCCUGUUCUAAACAACGCUAGAGUUCUGGAGUUUUUACAAUAAUAAAAUAAUCACAUUGAGUUAGAUUAAGCUUUGUUGACCCUUUGAGAGGUUGUCAUACCAUUGAAAACAAAAAUAUUUCAUUAUGUUAUCAUCUCAAAAGUUUGUUAGAAGGCAUAUGGCUAUGAAAAAAAAGCAUCCGAGAAAAUAAAAUGGGACAUGUGUCCGAAACCUCAAAAAGAAAGAUCACGAGGAAAUAAAAAGGGACAUGUGUCCGGAACCUCGAAAAAAUAAAAAAAAAUGGGCAAGUGCCCAACAGUAGAAUUAGCCACAUAGCCUAAACUCUUUCUCUUUGGAAAAGAAAAAGUUUUCAAAAAUUCAAUGGUAUGAUUAACUUUCUCUUUGGAUCCAUUGUUUAAUUUGACAAAUAAAUGUGCUAAGUUUUGAAAAUCAAAAAACUCCGGAACAAAAGUAAAGUAAAGAACUAGGGAUAUAGCGCUCGAUCUGAUCAAAUCCAUCCUGCAAAUGCUUAAGGACUCGAGGUAUGAGCAAUAAGCCCCAUGACACAUCUAUUCAAAAUUCAAAGGAGAAUUCUUGUUUGAUGGUAUGUACUGGAUAGAAGUGAAAAUAUUGUAGCAACUCCUCAUCAACAACCAAGAUCUUAGCUUCUUGCUCGAGGACGAGCAAGGGGUAAGCUUGGGGGAGUUUGUUGGCGGUUCUUAAUGACAUAUUUACCCCGCCAACAUAGUCCAUGCAAAGGAAGAAAAGCAUGUAUUUUACUCACAUAUACUUAUUAAAUGCUUACCAAGUUCCACAUGUAGUGCAAGUUGUGUUUUGCAGAUCAUAUACAGGCAUACAGGUGGAAAGCAAAUAAAAAGGCGCAAUCCGACACGUCAAAAAAAUGUGCAAAUAAGUACCCAAAAGCCCAAUAUAGAAGUGCAUCAAUUUGCAGGUGGAUCUGGACUCAGGGGCCCGAGAGGAAGGCAACGGGCUUCGAGCCAGGUCCAGCGGGGCCCACCAGGGGGCGGCCGCCCCCUAGGGUCGGCCGACCCUGACCCAGCCCAUCUCGGCACCGCCUUUCACAGAGGCGGUGCUGAGCCUAUCCUCCCGCAGUCCCCGCGUGCAAAUUGCAGUUUACACCCUGGGGAACCGACCUUCCCCACCUAUUUAAGGAGGGGGAGAGGGAGGCUCCAUUCAUCUCAUCACAUUCACAAUCAACACUCCACCUUCAAGGCACUUGGGCACUACCUCUUCUUAGUUUUUCCUUUUAGCUUUUAGAGAGAG
rnacentral:lncRNA from 1 species